rnacentral:tRNA from 2 species
GGAUAGUUGACUGAGUGGUUUAAAGUGUAAUAUUUGAGCUAUUAUUAAUCCUAAAGAUUACGUAGGUUCGAAUCCUACAUUAUCCG